rnacentral:rRNA from 1 species
GAUGAACGCUGGCGGCGUGCCUAAUACAUGCAAGUCGAGCGAACGGACGAGAAGCUUGCUUCUCUGAUGUUAGCGGCGGACGGGUGAGUAACACGUGGAUAACCUACCUAUAAGACUGGGAUAACUUCGGGAAACCGGAGCUAAUACCGGAUAAUAUUUUGAACGGCAUGGUUCAAAAGUAAAAGACGGUCUUGCUGUCACUUAUAGAUGGAUCCACGCUGCAUUAGCUAGUUGGUAAGGUAACGGCUUACCAAGGCAACGAUGCAUAGCCGACCUGAGAGGGUGAUCGGCCACACUGGAACUGAGACACGGUCCAGACUCCUACGGGAGGCAGCAGUAGGGAAUCUUCCGCAAUGGGCGAAAGCCUGACGGAGCAACGCCGCGUGAGUGAUGAAGGUCUUCGGAUCGUAAAACUCUGUUAUUAGGGAAGAACAUAUGUGUAAGUAACUGUGCACAUCUUGACGGUACCUAAUCAGAAAGCCACGGCUAACUACGUG